GUAAUGCUUAGGAAUCUGCCUAUUAGUGGGGGACAACAUCUCGAAAGGGAUGCUAAUACCGCAUACGUCCUACGGGAGAAAGCAGGGGACCUUCGGGCCUUGCGCUAAUAGAUGAGCCUAAGUCGGAUUAGCUAGUUGGUGGGGUAAAGGCCUACCAAGGCGACGAUCUGUAGCGGGUCUGAGAGGAUGAUCCGCCGCACUGGGACUGAGACACGGCCCAGACUCCUACGGGAGGCAGCAGUGGGGAAUAUUGGACAAUGGGGGGAACCCUGAUCCAGCCAUGCCGCGUGUGUGAAGAAGGCCUUUUGGUUGUAAAGCACUUUAAGCGAGGAGGAGGCUACCGAGAUUAAUACUCUUGGAUAGUGGACGUUACUCGCAGAAUAAGCACCGGCUAACUCUGUGCCAGCAGCCGCGGUAAUACAGAGGGUGCAAGCGUUAAUCGGAUUUACUGGGCGUAAAGCGCGCGUAGGUGGCCAAUUAAGUCAAAUGUGAAAUCCCCGAGCUUAACUUGGGAAUUGCAUUCGAUACUGGUUGGCUAGAGUAUGGGAGAGGAUGGUAGAAUUCCAGGUGUAGCGGUGAAAUGCGUAGAGAUCUGGAGGAAUACCGAUGGCGAAGGCAGCCAUCUGGCCUAACACUGACACUGAGGUG
rnacentral:rRNA from 1 species